rnacentral:rRNA from 1 species
GACGAAGGUGGCGAGCGUUACUCGGAAUUACUAGGCGUAAAGCGUGGGCAGGUGGUCUGAUAAGUCUGUUGUGAAAGCUCCCGGCUUAACUGGGAGAGGCCAAUGGAUACUGUCGGACUUGAAUGUGGGAGAGGUGACUGGAAUUCCCGGUGUAGCGGUGAAAUGCGUAGAGAUCGGGAGGAACACCAAUGGCGAAAGCAGGUCACUGGACCACUAUUGACACUCAUCCACGAAAGCUGGGGGAUCAAAC